CAAACGGGUGAGUAACGCGUAAGUGACCUGUCCCUAAGUGGGGGAUAACCUCGAGAAAUCGGGGCUAAUACCGCAUGAUGCACCGAGGGUAGUGCCUUGGUGUCAAAGCCGCAAGGCGCUGAGGGAGGGACUUGCGUCCUAUCAGGUAGUUGGUAGGGUAACGGCCUACCAAGCCGAUGACGGGUAGCUGGUCUGAGAGGAUGUCCAGCCACACUGGGACUGAGAUACGGCCCAG
rnacentral:rRNA from 1 species